rnacentral:rRNA from 1 species
CAGGUUAAACACAUGCAAGUCGAGGGGCAGCAAGUCCCAGCAAUGGAUGAGGGGGACCGGCGGAAGGGGGGGGUAACGCGUGAGCAACAUUCCCUAUACAGGGAGAUACACCAGGGGAAACUUUGUCUAAUAUCCCCAUAGCAUUCAUUGAAGGCAUCUUUAAUGAAUUAAAGCUUCGGUGGUAUAGGAUUGGCUCGCGUGACAUUAGCCAGAUGGUGAGGUAACGGCUCACCAUAGCAAUGAUGUCUAGGGGUUUUGAGAGGAAGGCCCCCCACACUGGGACUGAGACACGGCCCAGACUCCUACGGGAGGCAGCAGUGAGGAAUAUUGGACAAUGGAUGGAAAUCUGAUCCAGCCAUGCCGCGUGCAGGAAGACGGCCUUAUGGGUUGUAAACUGCUUUUAUACGGGAGCAAUAAGGGUUACGAGUAAUCCGAUGAGAGUACUGUAUGAAUAAGGAUCGGCUAACUCCGUGCCAGCAGCCGCGGUAAUACGGAGGAUCCGAGCGUUAUCCGGAAUUAUUGGGUUUAAAGGGUGCGUAGGCGGCCAUUUAAGUCAGCGGUGAAAUUUUGCAGCUUAACUGUAACAGUGCCGUUGAUACUGUUUGGCUAGGAUUUGGUUGUAGUGUGCGGAAUGUGUGGUGUAGCGGUGAAAUGCUUAGAUAUCACACAGAACACCGAUUGCGAAGGCAGCACACUAAGUCAUUAUUGACGCUGAGGCACGAAAGUGUGGGGAUCAAACAGGAUUAGAUACCCUGGUAGUCCACACUGUAAACGAUGAUAACUCGCUGUCGGCGAUACACAGUCGGGGCCAAGCGAAAGC